rnacentral:rRNA from 1 species
UACAGAGGUCUCGAGCGUUAGGCGGAAUCACUGGGCUUAAAGCGUGUGUAGGUGGAUCGUUAAGUACCUUGUGAAAUCCCACGGCUCAACCGUGGAACUGCCUUAGAUACUGACGGCCUCGAGGAAGGUAGGGGCAUGCGGAACUGUAGGUGGAGCGGUGAAAUGCGUAGAUAUCGUAAGGAAGACCAGUGGCGAAGGCGGGUCUCUGGACAGUUCCUGACGCUGAGGCACGAAGGCCAGGGGAGCAAACGGG